CGAGCUUGUGUAGCUUAGCUCCAGAGCUAGCUUAAAUUCCAGGUAUCUCCCUCUCCUGAUAUAGCAGUAAUUAGAAUAAGCUUUUUGUAUACCCUUUAUUUGCAGAUUCAUUUUUAUGUGAGUAAGUAGGAGGAGUUUCGAGUUGUUUUUGGUAAACUUGGUUAGAAUUGACUAGAUUGUGACAUGUUACUCUGUUGUUUCGAGUAUUUCAGCUUGUGGCGCUCGGAGAUCCGUUCAAGAAGAAUGGGAAAACGCAACCCCAACAGCGUCAAGAAGAGCAUCUGGCAGAUCUUCUGUGGCUGUUCAUCACCGAAGACCAAGGACUAGUGAAAAUGCCAUGACUCACGUCAUGGACCUUGCACCGCAUAGGUAAAAUUUGGUCGACCAACAUAAGUUGAAUUUAAGUUGUGGGUGUGAUUAUAAUGUGAUUAUAAUGUAAGAAUGAUGUUGCUAAGUUGAUUGGUUUCUAGUGAUUUUGCCGGGCUAGCCGCUAGCUUCCCUCUAUGGCAUGGAAAAUGUAAAAG
rnacentral:lncRNA from 1 species